CUCAAGACCCCGUAAAUACCUUCAGGGUCUCAGCAGACCCCAUAAAUACCUUCAGGUUCUCACCAGACCCCAUAAGUCAUCUAAUAAGGUAGGAGGUCCUCAAGAUCUCCUGGGCAUCUGGAGGUUCCACCAGGCCCCAUAAGUGGUUGGAUGGGGUGGGAGGUCCUCAAGACCCCGUAAAUACCUUCAGGUUCUCACCAGACCCCAUAAGUCAUCUAAUAAGGUAGGAGGUCCUCAAGAUCUCCUGGGCAUCUGGAGGUUCCACCAGGCCCCAUAAGUUCUCUGAUGGGGUAGGAAGUCCUAAAGACCCCAUAAAUAUCCUCAGGUUCCCACCAGACCCCAUAACUGGCCUAAUAGGGCAGGAGGUCCUCAAGACCUCUAGGAUAUCUGGAAGUUCCUACAGACCCCAUAACUCGUCCAAUGGGGUGGGAGGUCCUCAAGACCCCAUAAAUAUCUUCAGGUUCCCAACAGACCCCAUAAAUUAUCUAAUAGGGUAGGAAGUCCUCAAGACCUCUUGGAUAUCUUGAGGUUCCUACAAGACCUCAAGAACAUCUGGAGGUUCCACCAGGCCCCAUAAGUGGUCGGAUGGGGUGGGAGGUCCUCAAGACCCCAUAAAUACCUUCAGGUUCCCACCCAACCCCGCAACUCGUCCAAUGGGGUGGGAGGUCCCGAAGACCCGGAGAAGGCGAGGCCCUCCCUGGCCCCACAACUUCUGCAGUGGGGUGGGAGGUCCCUGAAGCUCAUAGGGCCGCGGGAGCUCCUCCCCUCACCCCAUAGCUCGUGGGGUGGGACGGGACCUCCCCGAGCCCCCGUUGGACCACGCGGGGACCUCCCGUCGCCCCACGAUUGGUGCGGUUGGGGUGGGAGGGCCCCGACCUUCAUUGGACCGUUCGAGGACCUCCCCUUCCCCUACGAUUGGUCAAGUGGUCCCCAGGGUCCCACCACGUCCCCACCUCACCCCAUAAGUCACCCAAUGGGGUGGGACCUCCAGGAGACCCCCAGAACCUCUCAUGACCACCUUGAGACCCCAUAACUCCUCCAAGAUUUGAGGUUCCUUGGCCCACAGAAGGUCCCCACCACACCCUACAACUCUCUCAAUGGGGCAGGACCUCCAGAAGACCCCCAGAACCCCUCAGGACCACCUCGAGACCCCAUAACUCCUCCAAGAUUUGAGGAGUCCCCAAGGUUCCUUGGCCCGUACCACCUCCUCACCUCACCCCACAAGCCACCCCAUGGGGCGGGACCUCCAGAAGACCCCCAGAACCCCUCAGGACCACCUCGAGACCCCAUAACUCCUCCAAGAUUUGAGGUGUCCCCAAGGUUCCUUGGCCCACAGAAGGUCCCCACCUCACCCUACAACUCCCUCAAUGGGGCAGGAGCUCCAGAAGACCCCCAGAACCCCUCAGGACCACCUCGAGACCCCAUAACUCCUCCAAGAUUUGAGGUGUCCCCAAGGUUCCUUGGCCCACAGAAGGUCCCCACCUCACCCUACAACUCCCUCAGUGGGGCAGGACCUCCAGAAGACCCCCAGAACCCCUCAGGACCACCUCGAGACCCCAUAACUCCUCCAAGAUUUGAGGAGUCCCCAAGGUUCCUUGGCCCACAGAAGGUCCCCACCUCACCCUACAACUCCCCAAAUGGGGUGAGACCUCCAGAAGACCCCCAGAACCUCUGAGGACCACCUGGAGACCCCAUAACACCUCCGAUCUCCCCCCUCCCCCC